CGCGCAGCGAGAGGUGCUUGCACCUUUCAAGCGAGUGGCGAACGGGUGAGUAACACGUGGAUAACCUGCCUCAAGGCUGGGGAUAACAUUUGGAAACAGAUGCUAAUACCGAAUAAAACUUAGUAUCGCAUGAUAUCAAGUUAAAAGGCGCUACGGCGUCACCUAGAGAUGGAUCCGCGGUGCAUUAGUUAGUUGGUGGGGUAAAGGCUUACCAAGACGAUGAUGCAUAGCCGAGUUGAGAGACUGAUCGGCCACAUUGGGACUGAGACACGGCCCAAACUCCUACGGGAGGCUGCAGUAGGGAAUCUUCCACAAUGGGCGCAAGCCUGAUGGAGCAACGCCGCGUGUGUGAUGAAGGCUUUCGGGUCGUAAAGCACUGUUGUAUGGGAAGAAAUGCUAAAAUAGGGAAUGAUUUUAGUUUGACGGUACCAUACCAGAAAGGGACGGCUAAAUACGUGCCAGCAGCCGCGGUAAUACGUAUGUCCCGAGCGUUAUCCGGAUUUAUUGGGCGUAAAGCGAGCGCAGACGGUUGAUUAAGUCUGAUGUGAAAGCCCGGAGCUCAACUCCGGAAUGGCAUUGGAAACUGGUUAACUUGAGUGUUGUAGAGGUAAGUGGAACUCCAUGUGUAGCGGUGGAAUGCGUAGAUAUAUGGAAGAACACCAGUGGCGAAGGCGGCUUACUGGACAACAACUGACGUUGAGGCUCGAAAGUGUGGGUAGCAAACAGGAUUAGAUACCCUGGUAGUCCACACCGUAAACGAUGAAUACUAGGUGUUAGGAGGUUUCCGCCUCUUAGUGCCGAAGCUAACGCAUUAAGUAUUCCGCCUGGGGAGUACGACCGCAAGGUUGAAACUCAAAGGAAUUGACGGGGACCCGCACAAGCGGUGGAGCAUGUGGUUUAAUUCGAAGCAACGCGAAGAACCUUACCAGGUCUUGACAUCCUUUGAAGCUUUUAGAGAUAGAAGUGUUCUCUUCGGAGACAAAGUGACAGGUGGUGCAUGGUCGUCGUCAGCUCGUGUCGUGAGAUGUUGGGUUAAGUCCCGCAACGAGCGCAACCCUUAUUGUUAGUUGCCAGCAUUCAGUUGGGCACUCUAGCGAGACUGCCGGUGACAAACCGGAGGAAGGCGGGGACGACGUCAGAUCAUCAUGCCCCUUAUGACCUGGGCUACACACGUGCUACAAUGGCGUAUACAACGAGUUGCCAACCUGCGAAGGUGAGCUAAUCUCUUAAAGUACGUCUCAGUUCGGACUGCAGUCUGCAACUCGACUGCACGAAGUCGGAAUCGCUAGUAAUCGCGGAUCAGCACGCCGCGGUGAAUACGUUCCCGGGUCUUGUACACACCGCCCGUCACACCAUGGGAGUUUGUAAUGCCCAAAGCCGGUGGCCUAACCUUCGGGAGGGAG
rnacentral:rRNA from 1 species